rnacentral:rRNA from 1 species
UCAAUAAGCGGAGGAAAAGAAACUAACAAGGAUUCCCUUAGUAACGGCGAGUGAAAAGGGAUGAGCUCAAAUUUUGAAUCUGGCGGUCUAUGAUCGUCCGAGUUGUAAUCUAGAGAAGUGUUUUCCGCGCUGGACCGUGUAUAAGUCCUUUGGAACAAGGCGUCAUAGAGGGUGAGAAUCCCGUCUAAGACACGGACAACCAGUGCUUUGUGAUACACUCUCAACGAGUCGAGUUGUUUGGGAAUGCAGCUCAAAAUGGGUGGUAAAUUCCAUCUAAAGCUAAAUAUUGGCGAAAGACCGAUAGCGAACAAGUACCGUGAGGGAAAGAUGAAAAGCACUUUGGAAAGAGAGUUAAACAGUACGUGAAAUUGUUGAAAGGGAAACGCUUGAAGUCAGUCGCGUCUUCAGAAAUUCAACCUGGCUUUUUUGCCUGGUGUACUUUUCUGUUGGACGGGCCAGCAUCAGUUUUGGCCGCCAGAAAAAGGCGAGAGGAAGGUGGCACCUCCGGGUGUGUUAUAGCCUCUCGUCGUAUGUGGCGGCCGGGACUGAGGACCGCAGCACGCCUCUAAUGGCCGGGGUUCGCCCACGUAACGUGCUUAGAAUGCUGGCGUUAUGGCUU